rnacentral:rRNA from 1 species
AGUGAACGCUGGCGGUAGGCCUAACACAUGCAAGUCGAACGGCAGCACAGUAAGAGCUUGCUCUUACGGGUGGCGAGUGGCGGACGGGUGAGGAAUACAUCGGAAUCUACUUUUUCGUGGGGGGUAACAUAGGGAAACUUACGCUAAUACCGCAUACGACCUACGGGUGAAAGCAGGGGAUCUUCGGACCUUGCGCGAUUGAAUGAGCCGAUGUCGGAUUAGCUAGUUGGCGGGGUAAAGGCCCACCAAGGCGACGAUCCGUAGCUGGUCUGAGAGGAUGAUCAGCCACACUGGAACUGAGACACGGUCCAGACUCCUACGGGAGGCAGCAGUGGGGAAUAUUGGACAAUGGGCGCAAGCCUGAUCCAGCCAUACCGCGUGGGUGAAGAAGGCCUUCGGGUUGUAAAGCCCUUUUGUUGGGAAAGAAAAGCAGCAGGUUAAUACCCCGCUGUUCUGACGGUACCCAAAGAAUAAGCACCGGCUAACUUCGUG